rnacentral:tRNA from 1 species
GAGGUUGUGGCUCAGAGGCAGAGCACUUGCCUGGCAUGCAUGAGGCACUGGGUUCAAUCCUCAGUACCACA